AUUGAACGCUGGCGGCAUGCCUUACACAUGCAAGUCGAACGGCAGCACGGGAGCAAUCCUGGUGGCGAGUGGCGAACGGGUGAGUAAUGUAUCGGAACGUACCUUUCAGUGGGGGAUAACGUAGCGAAAGUUACGCUAAUACCGCAUACGAUCUACGGAUGAAAGCGGGGGACUCGCAAGAGCCUCGCGCGAUUGGAGAACGGCCGAUAUCAGAUUAGGUAGUUGGUGGGGUAAAGGGCUCACCAAGCCAACGAUCUGUAGCUGGUCUGAGAGGACGACCAGCCACACUGGAACUGAGACACGGUCCAGACUCCUACGGGAGGCAGCAGUGGGGAAUUUUGGACAAUGGGGGAAACCCUGAUCCAGCAAUGCCGCGUGAGUGAAGAAGGCCUCGGGUUGUAAAGCUCUUUUGUCUAGGGAAGAAACAACCGGCUCUAACACAGUCCGGGAAUGACGGUACCUGAAGAAUAAGCACCGGCUAACUACGUGCCAGCAGCC
rnacentral:rRNA from 1 species